GAACAUUGCAUAAGAAGCAAUGUUGUCCAUAAGCAGGAGCUGAUGCCACAGGUAUAGGACACAGCAACUUUGAAAACCUGGAAGAAGGCAGCAGUAGCUUGUAAUGUAUGGUUUCCCCAAUGUUUUUGAUGAAGCAACCAGAAAAGAAGACAAAGUCUGCAGCGAAACCUUUUAAAUAGAAAUAAUUUGCCAUAGCCUUCUCAGGGAGUGCGGUACAUUCUUACGUCCAUGGAGUUAAAGCAACAGACAAGCAAAAUUGUGGGAUGAUGCAUGAGGUUUACAAUUUUUUGGUACACUGCCAUCUUAUCUACAAGAACUGCAGCUGGUGCAGGACAAGGAAAAAAAAGGGACCAUCUACCUAGAAGAUUAAUAGUUUGCUGCAUGGAAGAACAAAGUGUAGAUAAACAUAAAUAAACAUGCAUUGAACACCGUCUGCUGCGUAUGAGCUAAAUCAUUCUGCCAAAGGGAAAUAAAGGAAAGCUACUUUAACAUUUAGAGCAGUGCAAGACAGCAUGGAUAAGCUCAGAUUAACAGAGAACUGCAUCAGCAUAUAUUGAAAGACAGACAGAAAGGCAGACCACAGAAGCCAAAGCUUGUCUACACGGCCUCUUGGAUUCUUGGCAGAGUCAACAAUGCCGUCAUCAAGAACAUCAGGACCAGAUGCUACUUGCCAAAGGAAAUCAUCAGAAGCACUUGCAAAUUCCUGUGAUCUUGUUCCCAGCUUCCAUUCUCAGAUGCCUGCACUUCCACAGGGGAGAGGAAGACAUCAGCAGCACAACAAUUCGCUUUUCUGUAUCGCACCCAUUAUGUCCUUGUGUAAAUCUGCUUAUGCACGCAAUGAACAGAUUGCUAACAGUGUAAAUAUAGUUCUCAUGCCUUAUUUAGAAGAAGUAAAUUCAUAAAGCAAUAAAUGACUAAACAUUUCUUAUGGACUUUAUAUUAUCAUUCCCAAUAAAUUGUAAAAUGGCUAUGCUCUGGGUGGUCUGGAGUGUCAGACAAGGAGAAAGCACAAGGAAGUUCCUGUA